AGGUCCACCUUUUGCUUUUGUUGAUA
rnacentral:miRNA from 15 species